UACGGAGGGUGCAAGCGUUAUCCGGAUUCACUGGGUUUAAAGGGUGCGUAGGUGGGCAGGUAAGUCCGUGGUGAAAUCUCUGAGCUUAACUCAGAAACUGCCGUGGAUACUAUUUGUCUUGAAUAUUGUGGAGGUAAGCGGAAUAUGUCAUGUAGCGGUGAAAUGCUUAGAUAUGACAUGGAACACCAAUUGCGAAGGCAGCUUACUACACAACGAUUGACGCUGAGGCACGAAAGCGUGGGGAUCAAACAGG
rnacentral:rRNA from 1 species